rnacentral:rRNA from 1 species
GAUGAACGCUAGCUACAGGCUUAACACAUGCAAGUCGAGGGGAAACGGCAUCGAAAGCUUGCUUUUGAUGGGCGUCGACCGGCGCACGGGUGAGUAACGCGUAUCCAACCUGCCCAUCACUUGGGAAUAACCUUGCGAAAGUAAGACUAAUGCCCAAUGACAUCCCACGAAGGCAUCCGAAUGGGAUUAAAGAUUUAUCGGUGAUGGAUGGGGAUGCGUCUGAUUAGCUUGUUGGCGGGGUGACGGCCCACCAAGGCAACGAUCAGUAGGGGUUCUGAGAGGAAGGUCCCCCAAAUUGGAACUGAGACACGGUCCAAACUCCUACGGGAGGCAGCAGUGAGGAAUAUUGGUCAAUGGGCGAGAGCCUGAACCAGCCAAGUAGCGUGCAGGAUGACGGCCCUAUGGGUUGUAAACUGCUUUUAUAAGGGAAUAAAGUGGGUCACGUGUGACUUUUUGCAUGUACCUUAUGAAUAAGGACCGGCUAAUUCCGUG